rnacentral:rRNA from 1 species
UACGGAGGGUGCAAGCGUUGUUCGGAAUUACUGGGCGUAAAGAGCGUGUAGGCGGCCGAUCAAGUCCGGUGUGAAAGCCCGGGGCUUACCCCCGGAAGUGCGCUGGAAACUGAUCGGCUCGAGUAUGGGAGAGGGAAGUGGAAUUCCUGGUGUAGCGGUGAAAUGCGUAGAUAUCAGGAGGAACACCGGCGGCGAAGGCGGCUUCCUGGACCAAUACUGACGCUGAGACGCGAAAGCGUGGGGAGCAAACAGGAUUAGAUACCCUGGUAGUCCACGCUGUAAACGAUGGGCACUAGAUGCCGCGGGUAUUGACCCCUGCGGUGUCGUAGCUAACGCGUUAAGUGCCCCGCCUGGGGAGUACGGUCGCAAGAUUAAA